rnacentral:rRNA from 1 species
AACGUAGGAGACAAACGUUAUCCGGAGUUACUGGGCGUAAAGGGCGUGUAGGUGGUUUUGUAAGUCUGGCGUGAAAUUUUUCGGCUUAACCGGGAAAGGUCGUCGGAUACUGCAAGGCUAGAGGACGGUAGAGGCGUGUGGAAUUCCGGGUGUAGUGGUGAAAUGCGUAGAGAUCCGGAGGAACACCAGUGGCGGAGGCGACACGCUGGGCCGUACCUGACACUGAUGCGCGACAGCAUGGGGAGCAAACAGG